rnacentral:rRNA from 1 species
UUCGGGACAACUCUGGGAAACUGGAGCUAAUACCGGAUACGCCCUUUUGGGGAAAGGUUUACUGCCGAAGGAUCGGCCCGCGUCUGAUUAGCUAGUUGGUGGGGUAACGGCCUACCAAGGCGACGAUCAGUAGCUGGUCUGAGAGGAUGAUCAGCCACACUGGGACUGAGACACGGCCCAGACUCCUACGGGAGGCAGCAGUGGGGAAUAUUGGACAAUGGGCGCAAGCCUGAUCCAGCCAUGCCGCGUGAGUGAUGAAGGCCUUAGGGUUGUAAAGCUCUUUUAUCCGGGACGAUAAUGACGGUACCGGAGGAAUAAGCCCCGGCUAACUUCGUGCCAGCAGCCGCGGUAAUACGAAGGGGGCUAGCGUUGCUCGGAAUCACUGGGCGUAAAGGGCGCGUAGGCGGCGUUUUAAGUCGGGGGUGAAAGCCUGUGGCUCAACCACAGAAUGGCCUUCGAUACUGGGACGCUUGAGUCUGGUAGAGGUUGGUGGAACUGCGAGUGUAGAGGUGAAAUUCGUAGAUAUUCGCAAGAACACCGGUGGCGAAGGCGGCCAACUGGACCGGCACUGACGCUGAGGC